UACUCACUGCCAGUCCUCACAA
rnacentral:piRNA from 1 species